rnacentral:rRNA from 1 species
UGGGGAAUAUUGGACAAUGGACCACAAGUCUGAUCCAGCAAUUCUGUGUGCACGAUGAAGGUCUUCGGAUUGUAAAGUGCUUUCAGUGGGGAAGAAGAAAGUGACGGUACCCACAGAAGAAGCGACGGCUAAAUAUGUGCCAGCAGCCGCGGUAAUACAUAUGUCGCAAGCGUUAUCCGGAUUUAUUGGGCGUAAAGCGCGUCUAGGCGGUUUACUAAGUCUGAUGUGAAAAUGCGGGGCUCAACUUCG